CGGAUACUAAACUUUCCGGUAACAGCUAGAAAACUAAUUCUCAUUUUCUACCUAGAACAAUAUUUUUCGAUUGUGGUAAAAAAUGGAAAUGAUCAAGGACUGACCGGUAACCGGAACUUGAAAUUUCUCUGAGUGUGUAUAAUAUAAUAUAUUAUGCAUUAUAUAAUAUAACAAGUUUUUGCUUUAAUUAAAUUGCAAUUGUAUAUUAAUAUCACCCUGAUAACGCUUAUAUGCACA